GAGACACCCUUAUUGGGUAGGACUUGCUUCAAUGGGGCUUUGGUGCUCACUGAGUCUGCCCCCUUAGUGUGUCCCU
rfam:Myotis brandtii contig299306, whole genome shotgun sequence.